rnacentral:rRNA from 1 species
UACAGAGGGUGCGAGCGUUGUCCGGAAUCACUGGGCGUAAAGGGCGCGUAGGCGGCUUGAUAAGGUUGCGGUGAAAGCCCGGGGCUCAACCCCGGGUCUGCAUUCGAUACGGGCUAGCUAGAGUGUGGUAGGGGAGAUCGGAAUUCCUGGUGUAGCGGUGAAAUGCGCAGAUAUCAGGAGGAACACCGGUGGCGAAGGCGGAUCUCUGGGCAUGUCCUGACGCUGAGGAGCGAAGGUGUGGGGAGCGAACAGG